rnacentral:rRNA from 1 species
GAUGAACGCUGGCGGCGUGCCUAACACAUGCAAGUCGCGGGAGAAGUGCCUUCGGGCGCGGAAACCGGCGCACGGGUGAGUAACACGUAGCUUAUUUACCCCUUAGAGGUGGAUAACCUUUGGAAACAGAGGCUAAUACACCAUAAGCUCACGACCUCUAGAGGGUUGCGAGAAAAGUUCAGGCGCUAAGGGAUGAGGCUGCGAGCCAUCAGCUAGUUGGUGCGGUAAAGGCGUACCAAGGCGACGAC